rnacentral:lncRNA from 10 species
ACAAGUUCCGCACCCACAGCCCUGAAGCCCUGGAGCAGCUAUACCCCUGGGAGUGCUUCGUCUUCUGCCUGAUCAUCUUCGGCACCUUCACCAACCAGAUCCACAAGUGGUCGCACACGUACUUUGGGCUGCCACGCUGGGUCACCCUCCUGCAGGACUGGCAUGUCAUCCUGCCACGUAAACACCAUCGCAUCCACCACGUCUCACCCCACGAGACCUACUUCUGCAUCACCACAGGUGCGGCCACCAGUGGCGUGGAAUGGGCUUUCCCCACCCCAGCCACUGCACCAUCUUCGAGGUCAGGAGGGCAGAGAUCACAGCAGGAGGUCACACAGUCCUUGCCCUCUGGGAACAGUCUCUCAGGUCAUGCAUUUAUUGAGCACCUACUGUGUGCCAGGCACUAUUCUAGGUGCUGAGGACACAGUAAAUGAGACUGACAAAGCCCUCUCCCUCGACUUCAUGGCGUUGUGAUUCCAGCCACCCAUCAUCCCGUAUUUAUUGAGCACCUACCACAUGCCAUGGUGCUUUGGGCGUAGGCUCCUGCAGCAAACAAAAUAGCAUGAAUCAGCUGGGCGCAGUGGCUCAUGCCUGGAAUCCCAGCACUUUGGGAGGCCAAGGCGGGUGGAUCACUUGAGGUCAGGAGUUGGAGACCAGCCUGGCCAACAUGGUGAAACCCCAUCUCUACUAAAAAUACG